UUAAUCCCACUCCACGCCAUCUCAGAUCUCAUCUAUCCCUUCGCCCCUGCCGCUUCGAGCCCUCCCACUGCUGCCGCUUCGAUCCCUCGCCCACUCCCGCCGCUUCGAUUCCUGCCCUGCCGCUUCGAUCCCUCUCUACGCUUCGUUAUCUUCCUCCUCAAAACCCUAAUAACCAAAGAGAGCACGUGUGAGACCCCUUCUCUUCACAAUGCGGCGUGGCGGCGGAGGGGCUGUUGGUUUUGCCGUGCCCUUCGUACGCCGGCGCCGGAUUUUGCUCGCCGCCGGUCGAUUUUAGGGCCCUUCCCACCACCAUGGUUCGUCUCUUUCCUUUUUUUUGUUGUUUGUUUGUUAUUUAUUUAUUUAUUUAUUUAUUUUAGGCUUUGGCUUUGGAUGGAAUAAGAAAGUAGGAUGGUUCAUUUCUACAUCCUGUUGAUCACAAAUUUAUUUUCAAAAAAAUAUUAAUUUUUUUGAAGAAUUCUGUGGAGAGAUUUGGGAUGUUGAACUGUGUGGCUUUUUCCCUGUUCCUUUUUGUGUUCUAGGUUGAUUCCUUGCUCUAUCUGUUAAACUUGGAUUGAAAUUGUGCUAAUUAAUUAACAUCUGUGGGAGGAAUUUGAAACUCAUUUGUUACUUUGUGCAGUUUGUUUGAUUAUGACAAAUAAUUUUAUCCAGGUCAAGUAAGUCCAUAAAUUUAGAUCAGUUUCUGAACUGCAGAGAUCAAAAUGGUUAUUUUUAUGUAAUAAAAUGAUAUUCGUUGAGUGGCCAUACUUGGGUAUUGUAGUUGGUAAAGGGACACAUCUACAUGUAAAAAAAUAUCUUACCUGAUAUAUAUAUAGUUAUUUGUUCUUAUGCAAAUGGAACUAUAUCAUGAAUCGUGUCAUUGUGAGAAUAGUUUUAGGUAUUAUGCGCUGUUGAGGGACCAGAUUAUGUUAGCUGCAUUGUGUGUGAAGUUCUAUAACUAGGUACUUCAAUUGGUUCCUCUUCAUGAUGCCCAUCUUUCUCAUGUUAUAUGUUCUUAUUAAGCAAAAGAAAGGAGUACUAAGCUUUUGUGGAGUUACUGCUAAUAGAUAAAUUAGCUAAACUUCUGUUUUAUUUUAGGGCUGCUAACAAAUGGGACUUCGAGAUAGUUUCGGCGAGCGGAUUCAUGAGCGCUGUUGUUGGUGAGGGUAUCACAUCGAUCCCUGGCUGGACCAUCAAUGGCACACUCGAGCUAAUCUCCUCAGGCCAGCAGCAAGGCGACAUGAUCCUCAUCGUGCCACAAGGUAAUUAACUAAUUAAUUCUGUAACUAUUAAUUAACCUAUGUGAAUUUAUUUUUCAUUGAAGUUAUUUAGGACUUCUAAUAUACGUUAUUUUGUAUUUGAAUAGUCUUAUAUAUUCUUUCCCAAAGAAAAAAAAUCCUCAUAUCGUACAUCCCAGUCCUGGUCGUCAAGAGAACAAAAACUAAAUUUAGUUUUUUUAGUAAAAUUAUAAUCUUAUCUUUCUUUCUUUUUUUUUUUUUUUGUAAUUAGAGCACGACGUUUUAAACUUAAGUAUUUAAACUCCCAGUCCUCUUGCAAUUGCUUCAUUUUUACAGUAGGAACAUAUAGAAGCAAUAUCACUGUGUAAAAAAACUUUGAAUUAUGCCAAGGACCUAUUUGAUUUUGUUUGCUUUUGCUUUUAAUCUCAGUAGUUGUGACGUGGACAAUGUGAUAAUCACUAACAAUGAUGGGAAAUUUGUGCAAUUAAAUUUUGACAGUUAUCAAUAGUUAUCGUAUUAAACCACAUGUGACGUGGACAAUGUGAUAAUCACUAACAAUGAUGGGAAAUUUGUGCAAUUAAAUUUUGACAGUUAUGAAUAGUUAUCGUAUUAAACCACAUAUACGUUUAUUAUUCAAUGGACAAACAGUUCUAUAGUUAGUGAUCACGAAGCUUAUUUUAUGAGCAAUUUAGCCACUAUGACAUUUUUGUCCUGUAGACAAGUUUCCGGUUGCUAUUAUGUAAUUUUUUCUGAUUGGACUCUUUUCUUUGUUAUGACAUUUGACAAUUGCAUCGCUAUUAUUGUGUUUGCUAAUAAUAUUCGCAAUGUAUUUUUCAUCUGAUAUAUGGUAAAACCAUUUGAAUGGCUAGAACCUUCUAGCUUUUAACCUACUUUCAUUGUGAUGCGUCUAGGGGCAAUUAAUCAUCAUGCAUUCAGUUUCUAAGUUUUGUGUAUAUAGUUCUUAUUUACUGAUAUUGUCUAUUUGUCGUGGUAGAUAUUGUAAGCCUUUUUGCUUGUGAAGAUUAGUCCUUGAACAGAUCUCAACUGGAGCAUAGUAUAAAAAACUUGCAUAUAUUUGCAUACAAGCAGUCUAUCAAAAUAGGUCAGUGACGUGGUACUAUAUGAUAUUUUGGAAUGUCCCUUACUAUUUGUAAUGCGACCGUUAUGCCCGUCCAUGGAGGAUCAUUUUUUGGAGUAUUAAGAGAAGAUUUUACCUCUUUACUAAUUUGAUCGGUGUGUUGUCGAAAGUUUAGAUUUUUUGAGUAUUAAGAGUAGAUUUACCUGCUUAUUAAUCAUUUGAGGAUUUUUUUAUUAGGAAAUGUUUGUUAAAAGAUGUUGUACUCAGUGAUUUAAAGGGAUCACUUGCAGAUCUAGAGGAGCCCGGAGGUUUUGAUUGUUUGCAUUAGCAAUGACAUAAAAAAUCCCUUUUUUAAUUGUUCAGGUUGUGUUAAUGAUAUUUUUGUGCGGUAGUUGGGAAGCAUAUAUUUUAUGUUGAGUUUCUUUGUUUUGGUCAAGAGACUUACCAAAAGAGAAAGUUAAAAAAAAAAAGGGUUAAGAGCCUAAGAGGUAUCUUUGUUUAAUACAAAGCUUCGUGUAGUAAUUCCAAUUAAAUUGUUUGGCAUACUUUAUUUUAUAUGAUCUUUGUCUUUUUAAUUAAAAAGGAAAGAUCUCAAUGUACAAUCUAUGAUUAAUUUUGAGCAAGGUUCAUCUUCAUGGUUAGAACUUUGGAGUGUCGAUGGUGGUUGAGCAGUUUGAGGCUAAUUUGAGUUGGCUAAGUUGGGUUGAAUGUUUAGUUGUCUUUAUGCCUGGUCAAUAAUCAAUUGUUUGCAUUCUAUGUGGUUCAUGAGAGGUUUCUGAUUGCUCAAUGUCUCUUGAAUUUUGCUUCUUUCUCAGAAUUGAAAGACGUGAUAAUCCUGUGUAAACCUUUUUAGACUCUGUAGAGUGUCUGGAUGUGAUUGUUUAAAAUGAUAAAGUUUUGGUGAGUUAUCCUGCCUAAAUUGGACUUCUGCUAAUAUAAUUUUUUGGAGGUUAAGAUUUUGGGAAGAAGAUCUCUUACAUGGAAGAUUUCAUGUAAGAAAAAACUAAUUUAUGGGAUCUCCAAAAAUAAAUUUUAUCAUUUGUUCACCAAAGUAAUUAAUGUAUUUAGAUGAAUUUCUAAAAGAAAAAUUAUGCUUUUGCUUGUGAGCUUUUAUCAAAUUUGUGAGAGCGGAAAUUGUGUUUCCUGUACGGUUUUUCAAUUUAUUAUGUUUUCCUUUAUCUUCUCUCGCCGUCUCUUUAGUUCUUUCGUUUUUCUGCAUUUGAUCUUUUCUCGACUUAGCUAGACAUGCAAAAUGAUUUGUCGCCUCUUUGGUUGGGGCCCUUUUUAUGUGUUGGCUACUGCUAGCAUACAGUAGAUACAGAGCCUUGCUGAUUGAUUCUUCACGAGUAUUUUUAUGAAAUAUCAUUCAACAACAUGUCAUUUUGGUCGUAAUCUUCGAUUUGUCUCCAUUUAACAUUUUGUUGCUAGCUUUUUAGCAUGAAUUCACAAAGUCAUGAAAUUAGGUUGAAACUGGAUCAUAUACUAUUGCAGUUCCCAACCACCAUCGACAACUUUUGUCUAAGUAAAGAAGAUCUUUCACCAGAUUUUUCAAGCUUUUAUGUAGAGCUUUCGCAAUUUUUUUAAAAUAACUUGCAUAUUUGAGAGUUACAUGAUAUAUGCAUUAAAUACUUGAUGAAUUAUUUUAAAUUUUUCGAUGAGAUAAUUGUUAGUACAAUAAUUGAGAUACUAUUAAAUCUACCAUUUAGAUGCUGAAAGUUCUAAAUUAGUUUGGUUUGCUUUUAAGUUCUACUUUUUCUUUCUUCUUUUUUUUUUUUCCGAAUGGUAAGUAUUAAGUUUAUGAUUUGGGUUUAUAUUUGAAUCUUAGGACUUGACUUUUUCAUAUCAUCAUAUAAGUGUUGGCUAAAACUAAUAAUGUAUCCAAGUCUUCUUAAUUUACUAAUUCUCCAUUAAUGAGUUGUGUUAUAGGCAAGGUUGAGAAUGUCAACAAAGUUCAAACACUCCUUUUUAGUACUACUCUACCAGGGUGAGGUUGUCGACGUAGUUGAUGACCAUCUUGAGCUUGCUCCUGCCCUCGGAGGCGAGCUCCCAACGCAUCUCCAUAGUCAUGGGAACCGUGAUUUGCCGUAGCUUUUCGAUCAGCAUGGCCCACUGCUCCUCGAGUUUCCUUACUAUCGCCGUUGUGCUCACCUACUACCAUCUGGUGCCGUGCCACCACCUCCGCCACCGCACACACUAUCAUCGACUCUGUCGCCAGUUUCCCCAUCUCCCUUGAUCAAGGGGGGAAAAAAGGGAAAACUGUAUACUAUAUUUUAUACUUAAAAUAGUUGCUACUUUUAUUAUUGUGGUGAUAGCUUCUAUGUUGCGAGGAAUGAGAAAAAAUGUUAUACUAUUAUUUUUACUACUUUUUACUUCUAAAUUUUAUGUGAGUUUAUUAUAUUUGAUAUUUUGAACUUUCUCAAGUAUGCCAGAUUUUUUGUUGUUUAAAGCCGCUGAAUUACAACUGCUUUCGUUUAAUUUUAGCUUCAAGUGCCUCUUCAUUCUUUUGCCUAUUAUAUGUAAGCUGAUUAAAUUGCUUUAAGCUUCUCUAUUU
rnacentral:lncRNA from 1 species